rnacentral:lncRNA from 1 species
CAAGACACCAUACAUGAGCCUUCAUUUCAUCCAUCCAUCCCAAUACAAUAUUUAACAUCGUCAUCAAUUUCUCUAUUUCCUCAUAUAAUUGACUCAAGAUAGUUGCAAUUUUCUCUUUAUUGGAGAUGACUUGAAUAUUAAUAUUUAUUUUCACAUCUGCCUCAUAAGUUUAUUUCAUAUACAAAUUCUAGGGCGGAUCAAAUUUGAAAGAAAAUCGAGCGUAUAAAUUUUGAUUUAUACGUAUUAUAUGCACAUUCUAUACAACUAUAAUACAUGUUCAAUUUUUUAUCACUAUUGUUACACCAGCACAAUUCCGGAGAAAAAUCAAGUCUUACCGGAGAUUCUACCGGAGAAGAGAACGAUACACGGCGUUAUUCCUAUUUCGUGCAGCUUUAAAGGUGAGAUUUUGAACUGAUCAGGUACAAGUUUUACAAAAUCAAUACCAGUUUUUGUUAUUUAUCACUCUGUAACCUAGAUUUUGAUAUCAAAUUCAUUGAAAUUGCUAGAUAUGAAGGAUUCUAUCAACAACCCUAAAAGGGCAAUCUUUUGGGUUUUGAACCUUAAAAGGUAAUUCUAAGUAGCCCAUGCUAUUUACAUAAUACUAUUAUUGUUAUGUAAAAUGUAUUAAGAGCAUUGAUUGUAUUUUAUUAGUUGUUAUUGAAGAAUUGAGGGAAAUUGGGGCUUUUACUAUUACCGCGCGUUUGCGACAUUUUCCUAUCUCAGCUCUAUCAAUAACCAUUUAUAUAGCCUCCUGGAAAGUGAUGAAUUGUUUUCUAUCAGGGGUUUGAAACCAUUGGCAACAGAAUUCACAAUACUGUUGUUCAAACAUUAUGCUUUGAGGGUCCAUUACUUUGAUUUGGGCAGUGGGAUAAUGACAUUGAUCUCAAUUAGCACCCGAGCAUAAGAAAUCCUUUUAAGCUUAGUUGUACAAUCAGCAUCACAUAUAGGUGUUCGUAGCACACUAGCAAUCCUACUUAGGGACUUGGGACCCCAACAAUUAAAUAGAAGAUUGAGGAACGCCACCAUAGAGGGAUAACUUUCAAUACCUCAUCCUUAGAAUUGAAACUGGCCACCCAAGGUUUAACAACAGGCUUAGUAUUGAUCAUAUGAGGGCCAAAACUAAGUAUUACAUCUCUAUUCGCUAUUGAUUGGAAUUCACAACAUAAUAACCCUCAUUGUGAUAAUUGAGUUUAGCUUUCUGAGUGAAUUUACCCUUGCUCUCAAGGAAGCUAGCUACAAUUGCUAUAGUUGGGGAAUCCCAAAUAACAUAUAGUAUCAUAGCACUUCUCCAAAUUAUAGAUUCACUAGCUACCUACUCUUUGUCCUGUUGUCCUAUUUUGACUCUAUCCUUAAGCACAGUGGUAUGAAUUGAAUCUAUGUUGCUCGGACUUUUCAAAAACGUCAAUGAGUGCGUGUCGGAUUCUCCAAAAGUAGUGUAUUUUUGAAGAAUCCGACAUAGAUGCGGCAUCGAAAGUGAAGAGUCCGUGCAACUUAGAAUUGAAUACAAUUUUAGCAUAAAAAAUAUGCAACAUGCAAAAUUCAUAUAUAUGCUAAUACUAAAAAAAUCAUAAUAAUGGUGCACCAUAUACCAAAUUAGAUAUUAUCAUUGUGAAAUAUAUGCAGUUUAUGGCUUCGGUCUUAUCCUAACCAAUUUUUUAGUCAAACUUUUCUUAUUAAGAAAAUAAUUUAACAUUUGUUCAGUCUAAAAUCCACAAGAGAUGGUCAUGGAGUAAUAACAAAUGUCUUUAGCUUACUUAUUUCAGUCAUCAAGAAAUUUUUAAAAACUGAAUAUUUCAAUUUAUAGAUGUACAAAAUUAAAGAUUGAAACAGACAACAUUUUAAUAUAGGCUAAGAAUUUUGAGAUAUUUUGACAACAUUUAAAUAUGCAUAAGACAACCGAUUUAAUGGUUAAAAUUUUUAAAAUAUAAAUAUUUAUUGCAUAUGAAAUUGUGAAUUUUUUGAGAGAAGGGUAACUUCAUAUGAAAUUUUGAUUUUUGUAUGAUUGUAGUUGUUGCAGCGAUUGUAGAAACACAUUAUUAGUUUCUCCAAUUUCGGAAUAAAUGAUAUAUGGUAGAAGAUUGAGGAACGUCACCAUAGAGGGAUAACUUUCAAUACCUUAUCCUUAACAUUGAAACUGGCCACCCAAGGUUUAACAACAUACUUAGUAUUGAUCAUGUGAGGGCGAAAACUAAGUAUUACAUCUCUAUCCGCUAUUGAUUGGAAUUCACAACAUAAUAACCCUCAUUGUGAUAAUUGACUUUAGCUUUCUGAGUGAAUUUACCUUGUUCUCAAGGAAUCUAGCUACAAUUGCUAUAGUUGGGGAAUCCCAAAUAACAUAUAGUAUCAUAGCACUUCUCCAAAUUAUAGAUUCACUAGCUACCUACUCUUUGUCCUGUUGUCCUAUUUUGACUCUAUCCUUAAGCACAGUGGUAUGAAUUGAAUCUAUGUUGCUCGGACUCUUCAAAAACGUCAAUGAGUGCAUGUCGGAUUCUCCAAAAGUAGUGUUUUUUUGAAGAAUCUGACAUAGAUGCGGCAUCGAAAGUGAAGAGUCCGUGCAACUUAGAAUUGAAUACAAUUUUAGCAUAAAAAAUAUGCAACAUGCAAAAUCCAUAUAUAUACUAAUACUGAAAAAAUCAUUUUAUGCAAUAUUUGCUAAUAAGAUUUCGUCAAAUAUUUUAAAAUUAUUUCAAGGGUAUCAUCCAUUAUAAAUAUGUGAGAAAUAUAACAAUGACUCAAACAAGAAUAAGUUGGAACGCUAUUAAAUAUAUUUGUACAUUGUAUGCAGAAGUAAAAUGGUUGUUGCAAUUUUUUGAACAAUUACAUUUAAAGUGCUUAAACAAACAAGAAAAUAGUUUGUUAUGAUUAUUUUUUUAAUCAUGGACCGCACAUCUUACGGGCUCUAAUACUAACAGUGUUGAUAAAAGAAGACGAUACAUUCAAUUAGGUUUAAAUUAUGACCUUUUCGCCAUUAAGCUUUUUAACUCACCAAAAAAUAGUGUAACAUAAAUUUAUUUGUAAGAUUAGAAGAAGACGACAAAAAAUCCAACUAGGUUUAAAUUGGACUUUUUUACCUGUUAAACUCGAUUCACAAAGGCUAUAAUAUGGCAGAGACUUCAUUAUAGUUAUCGUGUGAAUAAGGGAAGACGAAAGAUUCAACUACAGGUUUACAUUAUGACCUUUUUUUGCCGCAAAAUAGUGUAACAUAAAUUUACUUGUAAGAUUAGUAGAAGAAGACAAAAAAUAUAACUAGGUUUAAAUUGGACUUUUAACCUGUUAAACUCGAUUCACAAAGGCUAUAAUAUGGCAGAGACUUCGUUAUAGUUAUCGUGUGAAUAAGGGAAGACGAAAGAUUCAACUAUAGGUUUACAUUAUGACCUUUUUUUGCCGCUAAAUUUAACUCGCAUAAAUAUAAGUAUAAGAUAAUUAAAUUAUAUAUGUGACCGUUCUUCUUUCAUUUUUUGCUAAUACUAAUUUAAAUUAUAUAUGUGGCCGUUCUUCUUUCAUUUUUUGCUAAUACUAAUAGACUUUUGAAUACCCUUAGUAAUGGGAAGAAGAGAAGAUAAUGGACAUGAAAAUUGUGUGAAUGAAUUAACUUAACCUAAAAGCCCAAACCUUUCUUUUCUUGAUAGAGAAACGUGGUUGACAGGCACUAAGAAUUGAUUCAGAGAAAGACAAUUCAUUAAUUAGGUUUAAAUUGUGACCUUUAAAUAGUUAUACUUAACGUGACAAAACUACUCCCUCUGUCCCAAUUUAUGUGAUGUUGUUUGACUUGACACGGAGUUUAAGAAAGAGAGACUUUUGAAACUUAAGGUCAAAAACAGGUCAUGUGUUCCUUUCUGGUUUAUACAGAUAGACAUUAGCUAGAAAAGACCGGAUAAACUUAAAUAUGGAUCUCAAGAUGAUUGAAAUUUAACUUAGUUACCAUAAUGGGUGGAAAUAUCAUCAGAGUACAAAUGUAUAUUUUCAUUUAAUAAAAAAAAUUUGUAACUAAUUUCUCUUUUUCUUGAGUACCUUUCAUAAAAUGAAUAAAAUUUCUCAUUUUCUUUCCCAUUAUGUGUAAGUGCAUUGAUUUGACAGUGUUUUGUGUCAUUAUUUCAUAUAAAUUUUCCUCAAAAUCACAUUAGAAAAUUUUCAAUGCGAGUCUGAUGAGAGGUUGGCAGGUAUCAUAGUAACAAAAACUAAUUCUACGCAAUAUUUUAAUAUAUUUCAAACCAACAUAAAAUUUCUACAAAAUAUCAUUUAUUCCAAAAUUGGAGAAACUAAUAAUGUGCUUCUACAAUCGCUGCAACAACUACAAUCAUACAAAAAUCACCAUUUCUUAUGAAGUUACCUUCUCUCAAAAUCAAUCUUUAAUUUUGUACAUCCAUAAAUUGAAAUAUACAAUUUUUAUAACUUUCUUGAUGACUGAAAUGAGUAAGCUAAGACAUUUGUUAUUACUCUAUGACCAUCUCUUGUGGAUUCUAGAUUGAACAAAUAUUAAAUUGUUUUCUUAAUAAGAAAAGUUUGACUAAAAAAUUGGUUAGGAUAAGACCGAAGACAUAAACUUCAUAUAUUUCAAAAUGAUAAUAUCUAAUUUGGUAUAUGAUGCACCAUUAUUUAGUUUUAUGCCAUAAGCUAAGACAUUUGUUAUUACUCUAUGACCAUCUCUUGUGGAUUCUAGAUUGAACAAAUAUUAAAUUGUUUUCUUAAUAAGAAAAGUUUGACUAAAAAAUUGGUUAGGAUAAGACCGAAGCCAUAAACUGCAUAUAUUUCAAAAUGAUAAUAUCUAAUUUGGUAUAUGAUGCACCAUUAAUUAGUUUUAUGCCAUAAUAGUUAUGGGUGGCACCUAAAUAUCUUCUAAUUCAAACUAUUCAAAGAUUUACACAAUCUAAAUUCCCCCUAUAAAUAGAAGUCAAUUAGACAAAGAAACUCACAACAACAAAGCCAUUUGAUCUCGAAUAUCCAAACAAACACAUAUCUCCUCCUAUUCCUCAUCUUUUGCCAUGCCCAGAACAAAAGUGAAGUUUGCUUUGAUCGAAAAUAAGACUAAGAGGAAAGCCUCUUACAAGCUAAGAUUGAAAGGGUUAUUUAAAAUGGCUUAUGAACUCACCGCACUUUGUGGUGUUGAAAUGGCUAUAGUCGUCUAUAGUCCUUACCAAAACCAACCUGAUUUGUUUCCAAAUUAUGCUAAUGCAUUCAAUACCUUUAAAAGGUUUAGUGAGCUUUCGGUGUUAGAUCAAUCAAAACACAUGAUGACGGGAGAAGAGUUCACGAAGCGAAGGAUUGUGAAGUUGGAGAAACAAUUACAUAAGGUAAGGAAAGAAAACAGGGUCAAUGAGUGCACAAAUAAGAUGUAUCAAGUGUUGAAGGGAAUUGAUACUCCCGAUGACAUGCACCCUUACGAUCUCAACGAUUUGAGCUUUGUGAUAAAACAAAACCUCAAACAGCUACGUGAAGUGAUGAAAGCGAAGACUGACGGAGAGGGUUCCACAUUGAAUACCCAUCAACCUAUGGUACCUCAUGGGACCAGCUCUGAGGAGCCAAGGGCACCUUUGUUGGAAAUAAUUGGGGCUCCAGUAUCAAUAGUUCAUUCGGUGGCUCCAUCGUCGGUUCCUAGUGCGACCAACUUUGAAGGGCUAAGUACUGAUCUAUUGGUCUCUGUUGUGGAUCCAAUAUCGAUGGUUCCUCAUGCGGAUCCAUCGAUGGUUCCUUCAGUCGCUCUUGCUCAAAUGCCCAAACCAUUGUGUAAUCUAAUGGAUCCUUUGAGGACUCCUCAAACGGUUUCUCGUGUAGACCCUUCGAGGUUUUCUCCUCCCCCUUUCUCUCCAUUUUCUUUAGAAAAUUUCCCUCAAAUGGUUGUACAACCGUAUCCUCCAUUACCUCAAGAAAUGGCUUUUAGAAGGGCUCCUGGAAUGGCCCCUCCAAUGCCUCCAACAACAAUGGCUUCUCCCAUUCCUUCACCAAUAAUUACUCCUCCAAUGGCUUGCUCGGAACCAUCAAUGGCUUCUUCACCCGCUUAUGUUCAAAUGCCCAAACCAAUGUGUCAUCUGGUGGUUCCUUUAAGGACUCCUCAACCGGUUCCUCUUGUAGACCCUUCGAGGUUUCCUCCUCUUCCUCUCUCUCCGUUUUCUUUAAAAAUGUUUCCCCCAAUGUUUCUACAAUUGUAUCCUCCAUAACCUUAAGGAAUGGUUUUUAGAAGGGCUCAUGGAACGCCCCCUCCAAUGCAUCCAACAAGAAUGGCUUCUCCAAUACUUUCACCAAUAAUGGCUCCUCUAAUGUCUUGCUUUAGUGUUUCCUCUAAUAACACCCUAGAUGGACUCUUCAAUGAGUAUCCCCCAAUGAGUGCAUCAAUCCCAAUGAAUAACUAUCAGAACUACUCCGUUGGCUUUCCACAUAGUCCAACAUUGUCUGAGAUGCUGGCCGGAAAUGAUGAUGAUGAUGAUGAUAUAAUGACUUUAAUUAAUGAUCCAUCUUUCAACAAUAUUAACAUUCAAGAUCCAAACCACCACAACAAUUUAUAAGGAUCUAGGACUAAUGUCUCUUUUAAUUAGCAUUGUUUUGUAGGUUCGUGUUGUCGUGUGGACUAUUCGUGUCCUUUGUUGUUUUCCAUGUCUAAAUUGUGUUAUAGGACUCGUCAUAUCUCUUUCCAUGUGUCCUCAUUUGAAGUGUCCAUUUGUUGUGUUUCUUUUUCUUUUUCAAAGUUUGUGGUUUUAUUCACUUAUUUAAUCUGUAUUCAGUUUUUUUUAAUGUUUACUAUAUACUUAUAUGUUUAUUUGUGCCUUUAUUACUACUAUUGAAAAUGUUAUUGUUAGUAUGGUUUUAAAAAAUGACCUCUUACACUUCAAAAAUCUAUCAAAUCAGUGUACGUAUGUGGUAAAUCUUCAUGCUCAAACUUUCCUGUGUAAACUAAUAUAACAACAAAAACAUACCCAACAUAGUUCCACUAAGUGGGAAAGGAGUAAACUUAUAACACAUCUAAAGUUGAGAAUGAAUUAAAAAGUAAAGAAGAUUAUCGUAAAGAACUAUUUAAAUAUCCAUGUAAUGGAAAAAUAAGGUCUAAAAUAGUUUCUAUUUUAAAAAAUCAAGAUAUAAUUAAUUAUUUGUUUCUUCUUGUAAAGAAAUGGAUCUUGGGCCUAAUCCAAAUCCAAAAGCUAGCUCGUAAGAGGAGGAUUAUUCAACAAAUCCAGAAGCUAGCUCUUAAGAGGAGUAUUAUUCAAGUCUAUAUUAGGAAACCACCAUUUUUUUUUCAUCCGAUUUGGGACUCCUCAACACCCACCUCAUGCCCCAGACCAGAUAUCUGGCACUUGAGCAAUUUAAUCUAGGGACCCAUCAUAGGUAAACAACAAUUAGGAUGGGUCCUGCUCUAAUACCAUGUAAAGAAAUGGAUCUUGGGUCUAACUUAACCUCAGAAGCUAGCUCUUGAGGGAAGAUUGCCCAAGUUUAUAAAAGGAGACCACCCAUCCGUUUUUCAUCCGAUUUGGGACUCUUCAACACCCGUCUCACGCCCAGGACUAGACAUCCGAUUAUCUGUAGUAUCUAUGAUUAGUUUCAUUCAAUAUAUUUAUCGGGCUGGUACUAACACUAGUUUUACAAAAACAAUAAUAAUUACUACGUUCCAGUCUCAAAUAAGUGGGGAGUCGUCUAUAUGAAUCUUCACUUCUUCAUUUAAGCUCAUUUGUAUCCUCAUCAUAUAAAAUAAACUAAAAUAAAAUAGAAGUAAAAAAUAAGUUGGAUAGCAAUAGCAAUUCUCUAACAAGUUUUUUGUAGCCGAUUUUUUGCCUUUAAGAACACCCUACUCACUUCCUCAUCCUCUGGAUUUUCUUGUAUCAACAUUUCACAAUCUUGGAUAGCUGCUUUCCAUCUUCCCAACUGCAUAUAUCAACUAAAACUUUAUGAUAUAUACCUUGUUAAAUAAGUAUGAUCACAUCAUCUAAAAUGUUAAGCGGUUAGAGAGGGCACACUUUUAUUUACUUAACUAAUUAUGUCUUUAACAAAUGUGGUCGAAUUACCUUGAUAUUGCAGUCAGCUCUCCGCAAUCUAGCCUUUGUAUAGGAAGGACGCAGUACAAGAGCUGCAGUGCAAUCUUCCAAAGCUUUUUCGAAUUGUCCUAGCUUGAAUCGACAUGCUGCUCUGUUAAACAGUAGAAUAGAAUUGUAUGGCUCUUGUCCUAGUCCUUCAGUGUACUCAAAAGAAGCCUCUGAGAAUUUAUUUUCUCUGAACAACUCGUUACCUUUUAACCGAGAUGAUGCCAACCCUUCAAUUCUCCUUAGAAUUGUGAUAAUUACUUCAUUGCUUUGAUCCAAUUUUGUUGCUUCUUGAGCUGCAGCUGUAGCCUCCUCAAACCAGCCAACUGUUGCAUAGGCCUCAGCUCGAGUGAUCAACAAAUAAACUGUUUUUACUGAACCAAAAAGGCAAGCACAUAGCUCGGUUUUUAUAUGAGGUACUUUCUGAAUUGUAGUGUAUGCUUCCUCAUGUCUAUGCAACUUUAUUAGUGCUUCAGCCCUCAUGGCAAAGAUCUUCAUUUGAAAUCAAGUAAAAGGAAAAAAGUAAGAAUCUUUAAACAUCUAAUUUCUUUAUUAGACUUUGUACAUUAGGGAUGGACUUUACGCCUCAUUUUUCCCCCAUUAAGAUUAAGACGUGUGAAUCUAUAUGCACAUCUAAAUGAUUAAGAUGUUGUCUUUAGAUUUGAACAUGGAAGGAUUAACAUCGUUUGUUUUUCAACAUUUGAAUGAACAUAAUGUAAUUUUUUGUAAACAUAAUAAAUAAACAAUAAAUCAAUUAGAUAUUUUUUUUAAAAAUAAUUUAAUAUAAUAAAAUCAUUAUCUGAUUUAAAAAAUGAAAUAUUCAUGUUAGCUAAUGAUGGUGGGGAUGGGUUGUAGUGAUGGUGGUAACGGUCUGUGGUGGUUGUGAUGUUGGCGAUAAUAUGUUCACUAAAUAUUUAUGUACGCUUUUGUUCUAGUCCUUUAGUGACUAGGAAUGGUGGUGGUGAUAGUUAUUAUGGUGGAGGUGGUUGGUGUUGUAGUGACUGUCGUGAUGGUGGUGAUUGGUAGUGGUGGUUGUGAUGGUGAAGUUGGCGGUGCUGAUGAUGGCGGCUAAAGAAUGUUUUGGUGGUAGUUAACGGCGGUGCUAGUUGUUAUGGUUGAUUAUAAGGAUUGACCAUAGUGAUGGUAGUGGCUGUUAGUUGUGGUGGAGUUAGCGGCAACAAUGGCAGCGGUGGUGGUGGUUGUGGUAGUUGGUGGGUGUGCUAGUUGUGAUGGUGGAGUUGGUUGGUAGUAGGAGUUAGUCGCAAUGGUGGUAGUGGUGGUGGAGGAGAUGACAGUGGUGGUGGGAUAUAUAUAAUUAUAGUAAUGGAGGUGAUAGGUGUGGUAGUGGCUGGCAAUAGUGGUGAUGGUGAUGACAGAGGUGGUUGGUAGUUGAUGACGAUAAUGGUAGUUUACAAUGGUGGUGGUGGUUGUGAUGGCAAAGGCGGUUAGUGAUAGUGAAGACUUUGUUCAAGAUCUCAAUGAUUAAGACCUAUACAAACCAAUUAGGUGCUUAAAUCUUAAUGAAAACAAAUACACUUUAUGGCCUAAUGUCUGAACCAUUUACAUUCAGACCUCCACCAAGUACAAACGAAUGAGGCUUAGUUGUAGUGAAACCUGUGGAGCUGAAUCUACUCCUAAGGUGAUAGAAUUUUGUGUUUCCUUUAGCAAUGCAUUGUAAUCUCUCAGCUUCUGUGCUUCUGUGCAUUUUAAGAGCUGUCUCUUAAUAUCAUGAGCCUCUGCAAUGUCCUUCUUGUCAACUUUUCGCCCUGAUUGUUUGUAAUGAUCUAUCGCUUUCUCUGCAUCUCCCAGCCUGUCGAAAUGAUAAAAAAAUUCGACUGCAUUAACCAAAUUUAGACAAAAUCAUCUAAAGAAAAAUAAUUGACGAUUCAAAAUGAUGAACCUGACGUAUAGUCUUGCAAGACGAUAAUGUGCAUUGUGAUACGAAGGGUAUAGCCGGAUGGCCUCUAUACAUGCAACAACUGCCUCAAUCACGUGGCCUAAACUCAUCAAAGCUGCAGCCUUGUUGCUAUAAUAACUAGCAUUUCUUGGAUCAAUUGCAAUUGCUUGAUUGUACAAAUCCAAUGCCUCCUCAAGUUUCCCCUGUCUGUACUGUUCAUUGCCUAAGGACUUUAGCACAUCAGGGUCCAGUUUAUUUGCAGAACUGCGAAACGAACUCCCUGGUUGAUGGCUUUUUACAGUACUACUAGUUUGCCUUGCUAUGUUCCCGAUCAAGAUUUUGCCUUUCUUCUGGAUAGCCUUUUUGUCACUUGAGGAAUUUUGGUUUCCCCGCAGCUUCAAGUUUCCCAAGUGGCUUAGUAGUAUAACAUUGCCUGUUGAACUAUGAUUCAACGUUCCAUUCGCCUUGGAUUUCCGAUGACUAAAGAUUGUCAUGCUCAAUUCACUUGAGGUGAAUGUUGGUUCUCUUCUAAGCUUUUGUGUGUAUGCCAAGUUCACAACUUGUGACACUUUGUUCUUACUAGAAAUCGAAUUCUUCAGACAAGAGCUGGUGUGACAUCUUCUUGAAUUCUUGACAACAUUGGUGUCACUGGACUUGGUUGUAAUGUUGAUUUUUGUGUUAGUAUUUCUUCUUGGAAAAAAAACACCUAUUAGACCACAACCUAAUCCAUUUAGUACUGAAUUAUCUGCAAUUUUUGACAUGGUUGAUUGACCACUUUUUCUAGUAUUUUCCAUUUCAAUAGUUUCUUAACAGAGGUUUUCAUGAAAAUAGAAGCUAAUUACUGAUCUCAAAUUCUCAACUGAUCACUGAAAAGAUAUAAAAUAGGAGAGACUAUAUAUAAUAUAUAGAAGAAGGGUCAACUGACAAAAAUCAAAUAUAUAAAAACAAAGAAAUCAAGAUAUUUCCUUAAUGAUAGGCCUGAUUUUUAUUAUUAUUGUUAUUUUUUUUUCUCCAUAUAAUAUGAGUGAAUAUAUUCUAUAGAGUGGGUGUAUUUUCUUUGAUAUUAUACGUGCUCGGAUUUUACAGAUAGGUAUUUUUAACAUGAUGUGAUAUUAUUUAUUUCGAGCUAAGGGCACAUAUGUUUGGUUUCUCAAAAGCCACACUAUUGAGAGUAUUGAUAGUAUUCAUGAGUAUGCGUACUGCAGGGUCCAUUCAGGGGUGACACUCUUAACAUGAUUUUCUCCCUAUCCAGAGCUUGAACUCGAGACCUUUGAUUAAGGGUGGAGUAGUCCCACCACUGUACCACAACCUAUGUUGGUUCAACAUGUAUUACUAUUUGUUGUUGCACUUGUUUUGUAUUUUACUGAUUUAUUUUUCUUACAAUCCUGCAUUUGUUACAUUGGGUAUAGACAUAAUUUUAGAACAUAUGGCUCUUUAUUAAGCUUUUCAAAUUGAAUUUCAUAAAACUAGGCCUGCAUGUUUGUUUGUAGGAAAUGCUUUUCUUCUGCAUGGUCUGCCGUCUUGUCUCAUCAAGCCAACUACAAAAAAUUCAUUAUUUUGCGAUAAAAUAAGGAAAAGAUAAUUCUAAUAUGCAAUUUACAUUAGUUGAAUGACCAUAUGAGCAAUCGACUCUUACUUUUAAGGUUGUACUUAAGUACAUAGUCU